CGGGUGUGAAAUCCGCCCAGACUCUGCUCUGUGACUGAUGGAAACCCACAGGCUUCCUGUAAUACACUGGGAUCAGGAUGGUUCUCAGGGAUCUUCCUGACCCAGGGAUCGAACCCAGGUCUCCUGCAUUGCAGGCAGACACUUUACCGUCUGAGCCACCAGGGAAGCCAUGCAAAUCUGAAGCUCUAACACAUAAG
rnacentral:lncRNA from 1 species